UACGUAGGGUGCAAGCGUUGUCCGGAAUUAUUGGGCGUAAAGAGCUCGUAGGCGGUUUGUCGCGUCGAAUGUGAAAACCCGGGGCUCAACCCCGGGCCUGCAUUCGAUACGGGCAGACUAGAGUUCGGUAGGGGAGUCUGGAAUUCCUGGUGUAGCGGUGAAAUGCGCAGAUAUCUGGAGGAACACCGGUGGCGAAGGCGGCAUCCUGGACCGGUAUUGACGCUGAGGCGCGAAAGCUAGGGGAGCAAACGGG
rnacentral:rRNA from 1 species